rnacentral:rRNA from 1 species
CCCUGUAAUUGGAAUGAGUACACUUUAAAUCCUUUAACAAGGACCUAUUGGAGGGCAAGUCUGGUGCCAGCAGCCGCGGUAACUCCAGCUCCAAUAGCGUAUAUUAAAGUUGUUGCGGUUAAAACGUUCGUAGUUGAACUUGUGCUUCAUACGGGUAGUACAACUAUAAUUGUAGUUUGUACUGUACCUUAUGUAUGUAAGCGUAUUACCGGUGGAGUUCUUAUAUGUGUUAAAUACUUGUAUUUAUCACGUGUUCCUCCUAUUUAAACCUGCUUCAGUGCUCUUUAUCGAGUGUUGUUGUGGGCCGGUACAAUUACUUUGAACAAAUUAGAGUGCUUAAAGCAGGCUCCAAAUGCCUGAAUAUUUUGUGCAUGGAAUAAUGAAAUAAGACCUCUGUUCUACUUUCAUUGGUUUUUAGAUCAAGAGGUAAUGAUUAAUAGAAGCAGUUUGGGGGCAUUAGUAUUACGACGCGAGAGGUGAAAUUCUUGGACCGUCGUAAGACUAACUUAAGCGAAAGCAUUUGCCAAAGAUGUUUUCAUUAAUCAAGAACGAAAGUUAGAGGUUCGAAGGCGAUCAGAUACCGCCCUAGUUCUAACCAUAAACGAUGCCAGCUAGCAAUUGGGUGUAGCUACUAUCAUGGCUCUCUCAGUCGCUUCCCGGGAAACCAAAGCUUUUGGGCUCCGGGGGAAGUAUGGUUGCAAAGCUGAAACUUAAAGGAAUUGACGGAAGGGCACCACCAGGAGUGGA